rnacentral:rRNA from 1 species
CGGCGGACGGGUGAGUAACGCGUGGGUAACCUGCCUCAUACAGGGGGAUAACAGUUGGAAACGGCUGCUAAUACCGCAUAAGCGCACAGUACCGCAUGGUACGGUGUGAAAAACUCCGGUGGUAUGAGAUGGACCCGCGUCUGAUUAGGUAGUUGGUGGGGUAACGGCCUACCAAGCCGACGAUCAGUAGCCGGCCUGAGAGGGUGAACGGCCACAUUGGGACUGAGACACGGCCCAA